UCAAGUGACUAAGUGCAUGCGGCGGAUGCCUUGGCGAUCACAGGCGAAGAAAGACGCGGCAGCCUGCGAAAAGCUGCGGGGAGCUGGCAAACGAGCUUUGAUCCGCAGAUAUCUGAAUGGGGGAACCCACACCGCAAGGUGUAUCCGUAGCUCAAUACAUAGGUUACGGAGGCGAACGAGGAGAACUGAAACAUCUAAGUAUCCUCAGGAAAAGAAAUCAACCGAGAUUCCGGCAGUAGCGGCGAGCGAACCCGGAGGAGCCCAGCUUUUGAUAGUACGAACUUUAGCCGAAAGGUCCUGGAAAGGCCUGCUAUAGUGGGUGAUAGCCCCGUAGGCGAAAGAGUUGGUACGGUACUAAGGAAGCGAGAAGUAGAGCGGGACACGUGGAAUCCUGUUCGAAGACGGGGGGACCAUCCUCCAAGGCUAAAUACUCGUGAUCGACCGAUAGUGAACCAGUACCGUGAGGGAAAGGCGAAAAGAACCCCGGGAGGGGAGUGAAAUAGAACCUGAAACCGCAUGCAUACAAACAGUAGGAGCCUCAUCAGAGGUGACUGCGUACCUUUUGCAUAAUGGGUCAGCGACUUACAUUCUGUGGCGAGCUUAACCGAAUAGGGGAGGCGCAGCGAAAGCGAGUUCGAAAUGAGCGUCCAGUCGCAGGGUGUAGACCCGAAACCAGAUGAGCUAUCCAUGGCCAGGUUGAAGGUGUGGUAACACACACUGGAGGACCGAACCGACUAGUGUUGCAAAAUUAGCGGAUGAGCUGUGGAUAGGGGUGAAAGGCCAAACAAAUCUGGAGAUAGCUGGUUCUCCCCGAAAACUAUUGAGGUAGUGCCUCGUGUGUCGCUCCAGGGGGUAGAGCACUGUUUUGGCUAGGGGGACAUGGAGUCUUACCAAACCAAGGCAAACUCCGAAUACCUGGAAGCGUGAGCACGGGAGACAGAGCACCGGGUGCUAACGUCCGGACUCAAAAGGGAAACAACCCAGACCGCCGGCUAAGGUCCCAAAUAACAGCUAAGUGGAAAACGAAGUGGAAAGGCCGUGACAACCAGGAAGUUGGCUUAGAAGCAGCCAUCCUUCAAAGAAAGCGUAAUAGCUCACUGGUCGAGUCCUUCUGCGCGGAAGAUGUAACGGGGCUAAGCUGUUAACCGAAGCCGCGGAUGCACUGGUAAUCCAGUGCGUGGUAGGGGAGCGUUCUGUAAGUCUGCGAAGGCGGUUCGAGAGGACUGCUGGAGAUAUCAGAAGUGCGAAUGCUGACAUGAGUAACGUUAAAGCAGGUGAAAAGCCUGCUCGCCGUAAGCCCAAGGAUUCCUGCUCUACGUUCAUCGGAGCAGGGUGAGUCGGCUCCUAAGGUCAGGCCGAAAGGCGUAGCCGAUGGGAAUCAGGUUAAUAUUCCUGAACCUGCGUCAGAUGCGAUGGGGGGACGGAGCAUGGAAGAUCAUCCGGGUGUUGGAAGUCCCGGUUGUUGAGCGUAGGAGGUCUGCAGGCAAAUCCGCAGACGCAUCUCCAAGGCAAAGACACGUGCCGCCACGGCGGCGAAGUGAUCGGAAGUGCUUCCAAGAAAAGCCUCUAAGCACCAGUCUGAUGCGGACCGUACCGCAAACCGACACUGGUGGGCGAGCUGAAUAUGCUCAGGCGCUUGAGAGAACUCGGGAGAAGGAACUCGGCAAAUUGACACCGUAACUUCGGAAGAAGGUGUGCCGUAGUACCGUGAGAGGAGAGACACCUUGAGCGGGAAACGGUCUCAGAGAAUAGGUGGCUGCGACUGUUUAUUAAAAACACAGCACUCUGCAAAGUCGAAAGACGACGUAUAGGGUGUGAUGCCUGCCCGGUGCUGGAAGAUUAAUUGAUGGGGUGAGAGCCCUUGAUCGAAGUCCCAGUAAACGGCGGCCGUAACUAUAACGGUCCUAAGGUAGCGAAAUUCCUUGUC
rnacentral:rRNA from 1 species